CACGUAGGGGACGAGCGUUGUCCGGAUUCAUUGGGCGUAAAGCGCGCGUAGGCGGCUUGUUGCGUCUGCCGUGAAAGCCCGUGGCUUAACUACGGGUCUGCGGUGGAUACGGGCAGGCUAGAGGCUGGUAGGGGCAAGCGGAAUUCCUGGUGUAGCGGUGAAAUGCGCAGAUAUCAGGAGGAACACCGAUUGCGAAGGCAGCUCGCUGGGACGUUACUGACGCUGAGACGCGGAAGCGUGGGGAGCAAACAGG
rnacentral:rRNA from 1 species